CUGCUUCUGUCACAACUCAGGGAACAAGGCCGUUGGAUGAGGUGCUAGGACCGCUGAUGAGGAGGCCUGGCGGAGCAGGGACCCUGACCUGCGCUCACAGAAACACCCAUCUGCUCCGCAGUCCAAGCCUCAGGAAUUGCAGGGGGAGGUCUGGACACCAUGUGAAGACAGCUGGGGAUGCAUCUGCAAACUGAGGAGCCACGAUGGCUGGGGGACCCCUAGGAGCUGGGGGAGGCCUGGAGCAGCCUCUCCCCAACAGCCUCAGGAGGAACCAGCCUGCUGAACCCUGACCUCGCACUUCUGGCCCCCAGAGCUGUGAGAUAAUAAAUGUCUAUUGUUUAAGCU